rfam:Capsicum annuum cultivar Zunla-1 chromosome 7, whole genome shotgun sequence
UGAUGAUGAUGAGGGUAAUUUCUAAGAAGACCCUUAAAUCUUUCCCAAGCUUGGUAAAGGUUUUCAUCAUUUUUCUACCAGAAACACAGAAUCUCACUACUCAAACA